ACGGCCCUGCAGAGAACAGGAACCUCACUGCGGUCAGACCUCUGUUGACCCCACCAGUGCAAGCCUGGGUCAAGGGCACUGAGAACAGGCAGGGACCAUGGGCUCCCCUCCUGGGCCCUGCAGGCCUCCCAGGGUGACAACGGGCAGGGGCAAGUGUCCCUCCUGCAGACCUCGUGCUCCGGGCCUGGCAACAGCAAGCUAGGUUCUCACAGUUCCUCCUGGGUUCCCAGGCUCAGGCCCACCUCCCUGGGAGUGGGAAGCUGGCAAAGACCCUACUGCACUCCUGCUCCUCCCCUGAGGCUGAGCUCACGGACCAAGUGACCCAGCUCCUGUCCCUGCCCUUCCUGAGGCCACGGGAGCCACAGGCACUCACCACAUGUCGAUGCUGGUGGUCUGUGUGGUGGUUCCCAGCAGCAGCUCGGGGGCUCGGUACCUGCACACAGAAACGCCACCUCAGUAUGGCCAGCUCUCUUCCCCUGCCCCGGCCUCCCUGAGAGUCUGUAGGCCUGGAAAAGCGCUCCAGCUGGGACUACCCUCCGUCCCAAGUCCUGCAGUCCAGGUGGCGCACACAGCAACAGCUGCCGGUGGCGAGAGCCGUCCCCAGUCUCCAGGACCAUGGGCCUUAGCACACAGCCACACCAGCCACCAGCAGCCCAUUCUGACGGGGACCACACAGUAGGUGGGUCCGGACCUGGGUAAGACCAACCCUGACGUUCAGCCCAUGCUAAGCAUGACCCUGUUCGGCCUACUACAACUGUCCUGGAGGAAGAACCAGAGGCAGGACGCAAGCUGCCCACCCUUUAGUCUGUGAAGCAGUCUUCCCUCCCAGAGACAGACUGACAGCCAUGCUCUGUUUCAGGCUACCUUGGGCCAAGGUGUGUCUCACCUGGGCAGGUCCCUUGGUGCCACUGUGCCCGGCUCACCAUUUCCUGGGACAGCCCUGCUGUUUCCCGGGAGGCUGUCCCAGACCCAGCGUUUACAAGUGUGCACAGGCCCUAGAGCCUGACAUUCUCAAGGCCCAUUUGUCACUUCAGCCUGACAUCGCCAAGGAGCGGUCCCCCAGGCACACCUGGUCCCCAGGGGCCACCACACUUUCGAGGAGCUCACCAGAGAGUGACCACCUUGGGGGUCAUCGGCUUUACUGGGACACCGUAGGCCCGGGCCAGGCCAAAAUCCGCUACAGCAGAAAGAGGAAAAAAAUACCAAUGGAGUGCAAGCAGCAGGCAAGCUGCGACCCGGGAACCCUGAGCUCUUCUAACUAUGCACGGAGGCAGCAGUGAGGCCUCAUCGGAAGUGGUGCUUCCACCUCUGCCUUGCUCCACCCACCUGUGGAUGAUGAAGUUCCUGUGCAGGUACUGGAGGCCCCGGAGCACCUGCAGCACGAUGCACUUGACCUGUGCAGAGGAUCAGAGGUCAGAGGUCAGAGGUACCAGUCAGGGUGAACCUGCAGGGGAGCCAGCCCACACUGGCCAGCAGGUCUAGCCAUCACCACCACACCCCGGGAAACCAGCGCCCUCACAAGGCUCUCAGCCCGGGGCUGCCCACUCCCGGCAAAUGCCCCACCACAGGAAUUCCCCUCAUGGAAUUUCAGCUCACCGAAACACUGGAGGCAGAGGCAGCAGUGCUCUACCAGUCCCCAGGUGGCCCUGUGUGUUACAGAUGUGCACCACAGGGCCCAUGAAGGCCAUCCACCUAUCCCGGGCCCCCUCUGCCACGCACCUGGGCCUCCGAGAAGGGUGUUGGCAUAUUCUCCAGGAGGCUGGCCAGGUCCUGCUCACAGUAACCCAUCACCAGGAAGAUACUGGAAGAAAGAGAAGAUGCAUGCCACCCUUCUGCCUUCUCUCAAGGGGUCAAAGUGGACCUCCCUUUCUGCAGGAGGGGACAUGGGCAGGACAACCGUGUCACCCUCAGACAAUGGGGGUGUCAAGCCAGGCGGUGAGGUGGGGUCACCUCUUGUCUGACAACCUCAUGCCCAGUGACGCUGUCUUCACUCUGUGCAAUGCCUCUAGCCCAACACACGUGCUCCCUGGGGCCCGACGCAGACCAGGAGAUCGUGCACCUCUCCAGGUGGUUCCCGACAACCACCUCCUUCAGCUCCACGAUAUUCGGGUGGCGUAGGCGGAGCAGCAGCGUGAUCUCCCGCAGGCUGCUGAUGGGGAUGCCUGCAGAGGGAGGCGGUCUCAGCGAGCCCCACCCAGUGAUCACAGGGAAGCCCCAACCCCCGCUGCUCUUGGAGCUCCAGGAACGCCUGAUACCAGGUGCUGCAGUUGUCCCCACUUCAGGGAGAAUCAGGGCCACCCCAUUAAGCACUUUUAACUCUUCCUUGACCAAAUACAAAGUGGACACCUCUCUAACCACCAUGGACACUCAUCUGGGGCCAGGCAGGUGCUGGGCGUGCAGGAGCCAGCAAAGCUGAGCCUGCAGAGGUGGGCUCACCAGACAGGAGGGAGAAGAGGGGAUACAGACCACAAAGCCCUCCUGGCAGAGAUCUGGGGACCUGGGAGGUGACACGCUGGGCCACAGCAGAACCCUCCCAGAGGCUGGCCCCUAUAGCCACAGUGCAGUUGCGCUCAGGAGGGUUCAGGUAACUCACGCCUUCCCGCCUCCUCCCACUGUGAGGUCCCAGCACCCCAUCUCCCUGCUCACCAUCCUUCUCCUUGUCCAUCCGCACCUUCUUCAGCGCAACAAUCUCAUCUGUCUGGGUGUCCCGCGCCCGAUCUGCAGUGGAGACACAUCUGUGAUGAUGUCCCAUUGACGCCCUCGUGGGCUCCCCAGCACCGCACAGGAGCCUCUCCCUCAGCCACAGGGGUGCCCUUUCUUUCCUCUGACAACCUCAUGCCAGCGACACUCAAUUCUCACUCUGUGCAACAGCUCUAGCCCAAGACAUGUGCUCCCUGGGGGAUUUGCUCAUUUGACCUGGGCGGGGAUGCCCAGUUUUGCUCUGUGCAGGACCCUGGCUGCAGCCACUCAGUUCUGUGGCUCCAGGCUCUCCAUGUCCUCCUCCUCAGCACGCAGACCACUGCUGUGUGCUCUCUUGGAAUCUCCUAAAAGCAAAUAAGGUAUUACGUGUAGAAAAAGGUCAACCUUA